UACAGAGGUCUCAAGCGUUGUUCGGAUUCAUUGGGCGUAAAGGGUGCGUAGGCGGCGCGGUAAGUCGGGGUGUGAAAUCUCGGAGCUUAACUCCGAAACUGCAUUCGAUACUGCCGUGCUUUGAGGACUGGAGAGGAGACUGGAAUUUACGGUGUAGCGGUGAAAAUGCGUAGAUAUCGUAAGGAAGACCAGUGGCGAAAGGCGGGUCUCUGGACAGUUCCUGACGCUGAGGCACGAAGGUCAGGGGGAGCAAAACGGGG
rnacentral:rRNA from 1 species